GAAGUGGCUCUUCCUGUGGCUGGGUGCAGGUCAGUCUGGAGCCUGUCACACACGCAGGAGGCCCUGGGGUUAUUGGCCAGAACCACACAUAGUCUUUUUAUCACACAAAACAAUCUCCUUCCAUAUCUCCUGAGACUCCUAGGGCCAAGACCUGAGCCGCCUAGGACAGACACGGAGUCGAGCCACACAGUGACCCAGAAGUUCAGCCUCAUCAGAGCAGAGCGAUGUUUCAGGCAAGCAGGCUGGCUGAUGGUGUGGUCAACUCCAGAAUGCUCCACCAAAAGAAAGGGGUGAACAGCCUUUCCCAGCCCUCCUGUGCUGUGAACAACGGACCACGUGGCAACAGAGAACAGAACCGGAGUGCUCUUCAAAACGGAGUUUGGAGAUGUCCAGUGGCUUUAGAAUGGCCGGUUCCUGAUGGCACCCCUGAGCUACUUAUCAGUACCCUGACGCUUCGGAUGCUGGAAGCAAGCAGAACCCUGCAGGUGUGCCAAGGUCUCACCCUUGUCACCAACAGCUUUUGGAAUCAGAACAAUCAGAGCUGUCUGGGGACACUACCCAGCGACAUAGCCACCCUCCUCAGCUCCUCGUCCGGCAUGUGUGAGUGCAACGGGGAUGGCUGUGCCUACCUGCCUGGCCCUGUCCGCCUUCAGGGCCUCCAUGCCACUCUGUAGCUGUUCCUUCUCUCGGAUCAGCUCCUCACUCAGCGUCUCCAGGUCUUGGUUACUCUGCUUUUCUCUCUCCAGCUGCGUUUGUAACUUUUCAAUCUGCAGAUGUAAAGAUCCAGCCUGUGACAAUCAGUCUAACAAGAUGAGCUGUGUUCAGACAGACAGACAGACAGACAGACCCUUCUCUGCCCAGGUUAUUAAUUAUACAGGCCCUUGAGGGGACAAAAAAUGUACCAGUGUCUCUCUGCAGCAAUGUAUUCCCUCAGUCCCUCAGUCAUUGGCCUGACAUGACCUGCACUUUCUGUCUGGGGUAAGAGAAGUCACUGGGCAGCAGCCUCCCCGUGUCUGUCCCAGGCUACCCAGGGUGCUGCACGUCCAAUCUACUCUAUGUCUUGCUUUUUCCCCCCUUGACGUCCUCCACUUCUGCUCAGGGUCAGACCGCAUACCCAAAGCACCUAGCGCCACGUUCCCAACAAGGACUGUAGAGUUCCCUUCCCCUUCCUUAUGUUUGGCGACCUUGUGCAGCUGCUCAGGUCCUGUCACUCUCCAGGUAAACCCAUCAUCAAUCAAGCCUUGUCCCUUCUGCCCACUCUACUCCCUCCUACCAUCCACUGCGGCUGCCCUAGGCCAGAAUGUAUUGUCCUGUCUGGACAAUUUCCCUCCUAUCACCGCCUACCAACACCAGGCUCUGAUGGGGGAACCCACCAGUGUGCCCAAGCUUCCUAGAACACGAGUUCCCUACAUAAGAGUUCUCCAUAUCUUCCAUGGUAUACAGAGAAUAGGCUACAGGGCAGAGGUGACCCACACUGACUCUAGCCCAGCAAAAAGAUACCCCAGGCUUUCCUGCCUGAGAACCCAUGGAGUGGGAGGGUCCUUUCUUCAAUGUCAGCUCUUUUUCAUAUUAUACAAGACUGGGCGCCCAUUUAUAAAGACAUUCCCUGCCUUACGACCACAGAGAUCUAAGAGAACAAAUCAUGUGGUCACUUUUCCCAUUUUUGCUUUGCUCUAAAAGACAAGGCAUGAGAUAGGAGCAUCUCCUGCUGUCCUCUAAAGGCAGAGCAAUCCCGUGACAGAGCUGUCACAUGACACUCAGUGCUUAAAGUGGGGUAAGUGGUGAGCAGGUAAAUGCAGCCACGUGGGUCCCUGAAAUCCUUUCCACAGCAGGAAAUGUGCACCACACCCCACGCAGAGGAGAGAAAGCAGCAGAGGUGGGGUCCCUGGGGCCUGGUUUCCUCCUGGCUUGUCCUCCAACCCCCACUGCCCUCCUCAGAGUCUGGCGGCAGACAUGUUAAGGGCCCCGAAGGUCACCUUCUUGCUAAGCUGCUGGUUCUCCUUCUCCAGCUCCCCAUACUUGAGGCUGCUCUCCUCCAGCGCCAGCGACGUGUCCCGCAGACCCUGGAUGGUGCUCUGUAGGCUUUGGUUCUCCUUCUCCAGCUUCAGGAUGCGGCUGGAGGCGCACUCAUUCAGCUCAAAGACGAAGGAUUUCCUGGAGGCUGGAGGGCCGAGUCCGUUAGGGUCUAGCAUUUUGGGAACCCUGCUUCCACAUUCUGACAUAAGCUGAACCUGAGAGCUAGGCUUCCCCUCUUGCUCUCCAUUCUCAUCCCAGUAGGACUGCUGCUUCAGCACCCAACAGUGAGGUCCCCUGAUGGCAGAAUUGGGGCCCAAUCAAUCUAGAACUUAAGGAGAAACCAGAUUACCUUGUGGGAGCCAACUGUGGGACCUGGGUCACUACACUGCUCACCUGACUGACUCAAGGGCCACAGACAUUUUCUGUGCUCACUAUAGGAGCAGUGGGCAUCUACGCUGCUCGGCAGAGAGGGCAAAGUGAUCAGGUGACUGAGGGCAAAGAAAAGCUGGGCAUGUAUGUAUGUAUGUAUGUAUGUAUAUACCCAUUGUUGGACAGUCUGGGUUAAAACCUUGACAUUAGAGAUUUCUUCCAAGUUCACAAUUAUGCUGAAGGAAAGUCAGAGCAUACACGCCAGCCGCUUUAGACUUCUCAGUGAGACUGGAGAGAGCUCAAUGCUUUAAAAGUCAUCUACUCUGCUUUUAAACAACCCAGCCCUUUCUUGGGAGUCAAGCACUAGACUCCCCUCCUACGAGCAGACGCAAGGCUUCAGGUUAAGUCACAGAGCUUCUCAAGAGGAACUUGUAGGCCUGACACACCCUAAGGAAACGGUCAGGGCUAUUCCUCAGGCCCUAGUCUGCCCAGAGUUCACACUGUUGCUCUGUAUUGUAACCCUAAGUACGGCCCUCCUCCCCUCCCCCCAGAUCUGACUGCCUCAGGGACAAAGAAAUCCUCACAUAACCACGUGGUGCUAUGUGAGCUUGCUCCUUAGUUAAAUAAAGAUGCCUAUUGCCUAUAGCGGGCAGAAGAGAGAGAGGUAGGUGGCAGAAGAGAGGUAGGUGGCAGAAGAGAGGUAGGUGGCAGAAGAGAGGUAGGUGGCAGAAGAGAGGUAGGUGGCAGAAGAGAGGUAGGUGGAGCUUUGGUUGCCAGACUUGGGGUCUGAGGCAAAGACCAUGAGGAGGAGAGGAGAGGAGAGCUGAGAGCUGAAAGCAAAGAGAGAGAAGAUGCCAUGGGUAAGGGGCUGUGAGAACUGGCCACGAGGGUUGGUCAGCUGGAGUACGAGCAGCCCAGAUGGAACGUGGCAAGUUUUAUCUCAGGGUUAUUGACAGGGAAGUAGACAAGAUAGCAUAGAGGGUGGAUACCUGCCCAGCUCUAGUGCUGUUAAGGCUUCUU
ensembl:lincRNA A630072L19Rik RIKEN cDNA A630072L19 gene